rnacentral:tRNA from 1 species
GCUAGCGUAGCUUAAUAUAAAAGCACAGCACUGAAGACGCUUAGAUGGGCUCUCAAAGGCCCCGCAAGCA